GACGAACGCUGGCGGCGUGCUUAACACAUGCAAGUCGAACGAAGUGGCGAACGGGUGAGUAACGCGUAAUCAACCUGCCCUUCAGAGGGGGACAACAGUUGGAAACGACUGCUAAUACCGCAUACUGAAGGAGGGGAUUGCGUCUGAUUAGCUAGUUGGAGGGGUAACGGCCCACCAAGGCGAUGAUCAGUAGCCGGUCUGAGAGGAUGAACGGCCACAUUGGGACUGAGACACGGCCCAGACUCCUACGGGAGGCAGCAGUGAGGAAUAUUGGUCAAUGGGCGAGAGCCUGAACCAGCCAAGUCGCGUGAAGGAGGACGGUCUAUGGAUUGUAAACUUCUUUUGUAGAGGAAUAUGUACUCUACGAAUAAGUAUCGGCUAACUCCGUGCCAGCCGCCGCGGUAAUUC
rnacentral:rRNA from 1 species